rnacentral:rRNA from 1 species
CGCGCAGGCGGCCCGGCAAGUCGGGUGUGAAAUCUCGGGGCUCAACCCCGGAACUGCAUCCGAUACUGCCAGGCUAGAGGUAGGUAGGGGAGAUCGGAAUUCCUGGUGUAGCGGUGAAAUGCGCAGAUAUCAGGAGGAACACCGGUGGCGAAGGCGGAUCUCUGGGCCUUACCUGACGCUCAGGCGCGAAAGCUAGGGGAGCGAACA